UUAAUUAGUAUUAGUUAUGUUCUUGAAAAUUAAUUAAUUUGGCGGUAUUUUAGUCUAUUCAGAGGAAUCUGUUCUAUAAUUGAUAGUCCACGAAUAUAAAUACUUAUUUUUGUAGUUUAUAUAUCGUCGUAGUUGAAUAUUUUUAGAGAAAAUAAUAUUCAAAAAUUUUUAUAAAAAAUAAAAUCAGAUCAAGAUAUAGCUUAUAAAUAAGAAGAAAUGGAUUACAAUAAAAUUAUUUUUGUUAUAAUUUUUAUAAAUUUAUAUAAAUUGGAUUUGAAAGUAAUAAAAUUAUAUUAAUUUUAUGAUUUUAGCUCUAAAAUAUGUACACAUCGCCCGUC
rnacentral:rRNA from 1 species